rnacentral:rRNA from 1 species
GAUGAACGCUGGCGGCGUGCCUAAUACAUGCAAGUCGAGCGAACAGAUGAGGAGCUUGCUCCUCUGACGUUAGCGGCGGACGGGUGAGUAACACGUGGAUAACCUACCUAUAAGACUGGGAUAACUUCGGGAAACCGGAGCUAAUACCGGAUAAUAUAUUGAACCGCAUGGUUCAAUAGUGAAAGACGGUUUUGCUGUCACUUAUAGAUGGAUCCGCGCCGCAUUAGCUAGUUGGUAAGGUAACGGCUUACCAAGGCAACGAUGCGUAGCCGACCUGAGAGGGGGUUGGGCCACAUGGAACUGGGACCCGGUCCAGGCUCCUAAGGGAGGCAGGCGUAGGGAAUCCUUCGCAAUGGGGCAAAGCCUGACGGAGGCACCGCGGCGGAGGUAUGAAGGGCCUCCGAUCGUAAAACCCUUUUAAUUGGGAAAAACCAAUUUUGUAGGUACCAAGGCCGUCUUGACGGUAACCAAACAAAAAGCCCCCGCCAACUUCCUG